UACGGGGGGAGCAAGGCGUUGUUCGGAUUUACUGGGCGUAAAGGGCGCGUAGGCGGCCACCGCAAGUCAAUUGUGAAAUCUCCGAGCUUAACUCGGAAAGGUCAACUGAUACUGUGCGGCUAGAGUGCGGAAGGGGCAACUGGAAUUCUUGGUGUAGCGGUGAAAUGCGUAGAUAUCAAGAGGAACACCUGCGGCGAAGGCGGGUUGCUGGGCCGACACUGACGCUGAUGCGCGAAAGCUAGGGGAGCGAACGGG
rnacentral:rRNA from 1 species